CCGGGCGAGUGAGGGGGGUGGGGAGGGAGCGCGCCCGCUGGGUACCUUGUUCUGGCUGCGGAUCUUCACCUCUCCCUGAGUCCUGAGAAUUCUCUGGCUGUGUGACUCUCUGCAAGUGUGCGCACCUCUCUGGGCUUCAGCGGCCAGUAGCAAAAUGGAGGAGCUCGUACCGGCUGUGAUUCAAAACGAGGAGCCGCACACAGUCGCGCAUGAGAGUGAGGACUGGGGUCCUCACUCCGCCAAGGGAUAACUUCGGGAAACUAGCUGUAAUGAUUGUACCACCUCAUAGGUCUGUUAUGAAGAUUAAGUGAGUUAAUAUUUGAAAAGUGUUUAGAGCAGCCUCUGUUACGUGACUGAGCACCUUGAGGAUGGCUUCUAUAGCUGAGACACAGAGGUGAAGGAAGAAGGCAGAAAUGAAUGAACACAUGAGCAGCUAGUCUGCCUGUUUCUUGCCAACACGUGUUCCCUGAAGUACCUUUUGGGUUUUGCCACUUCCCUGCUCCAAGUCUCUCCAUGGAUCCCUGUUGCCAAAUACAUUCAGUCUACUGUGUCUACCUCUUCCCAGCUGUGGCUAUGCCCCACCUAGCUCACGGGGGUACCCUCACUAUCAGACUCUCUUUCCUUCUCCAGGCCAGCCCUGUCUGUGCUGGCUGCUUCCCCAGGGACAGAGGGAACCAAGCCUGUUGCUAAUCUUAUGGAUUCCCCAGACUGGAGAGAAUGAAGAGGGGAGGUGCACAGCAACAAUACUGAGCUGGGUAUGCAUGGUUAAGAAUGUGUAUUGGA